GUGCCCUUUGGCGUGGAAUAACAGCGAGGACCCUUGUGCUAAUACCGGAUAAGGCUUUAGGGAGAAAGCUUUAUGCACCAUUGGAUGAGCCUGCACUUGAUUAGUUUGUUGGGGGGGUAAUGGCCUACCAAGACUGUGAUCAAUAGCUGAUUUGAGAGGAUGAUCAGCCACAUUGGGACUGAGACACGGCCCAAACUCCUACGGGAGGCAGCAGUGGGGAAUCUUGCACAAUGGAGGAAACUCUGAUGCAGCGAUGCCGCGUGAGUGAAGAAGGCCCUUGGGUUGUAAAGCUCUUUCGUCGGGGAAGAAAAUGACUGUACCCGAAUAAGAAGGUCCGGCUAACUUCGUGCCAGCAGCCGCGGUAAUACGAAGGGACCUAGCGUAGUUCGGAAUUACUGGGCUUAAAGAGUUCGUAGGUGGUUGAAAAAGUUAGUGGUGAAAUCCCAGAGCUUAACUCUGGAACUGCCAUUAAAACUUUUCAGCUAGAGUAUGAUAGAGG
rnacentral:rRNA from 1 species